UACAGAGGGGGCAAGCGUUAUUCGGAAUUAUUGGGCGUAAAGGGCGCGUAGGCGGCCUGGCAAGUGGAUGGUGAAAUCCCUCGGCUUAACCGAGGAACUGCCGUCCAAACUGCUUGGCUUGAGUCCGGGAGAGGUGAGUGGAACUGCGAGUGUAGAGGUGAAAUUCGUAGAUAUUCGCAAGAACACCAGUGGCGAAGGCGGCUCACUGGCCCGGUACUGACGCUGAGGUGCGAAAGCGUGGGGAGCAAACAGG
rnacentral:rRNA from 1 species